rnacentral:rRNA from 1 species
AUUGAACGCUGGCGGCAUGCUUUACACAUGCAAGUCGAACGGUAACAGGCCGCAAGGUGCUGACGAGUGGCGAACGGGUGAGUAAUGCAUCGGAACGUGCCCAGUCGUGGGGGAUAACGCAGCGAAAGCUGCGCUAAUACCGCAUACGAUCUAUGGAUGAAAGCGGGGGACCGUAAGGCCUCGCGCGAUUGGAGCGGCCGAUGUCAGAUUAGGUAGUUGGUGGGGUAAAGGCUCACCAAGCCAACGAUCUGUAGCUGGUCUGAGAGGACGACCAGGCACACUGGGACUGGGACACGGCCCAGACUCCUACGGGAGGCAGCAGUGGGGAAUUUUGGACAAUGGGCGCAAGCCUGAUCCAGCAAUGCCGCGUGCAGGAAGAAGGCCUUCGGGUUGUAAACUGCUUUUGUACGGAACGAAACGGUCCUGGUUAAUACCUGGGGCUAAUGACGGUACCGUAAGAAUAAGCACCGGCUAACUACGUGCCAGCCGCCGCCGUAAAAC